ACAGCUCCAGAUUUUAUUGUGUUUUUCUGUUGAUGGCUUAAACCACCAACACUCCACACUUUGAAGUGGUCUGUUUACCAGCUCAAGAUAUAUACUUGUACUAAUGUCUAAAUAAUAGGAGAAUGCUGUUGUGUCUCUCUAAGCCAUGUUCCUUUUCAGGAUGUGUUGAAAAUGCUAGCCCAAAAAGCCAUUUCAUUACUGUAGGACUUUCCUUCGUAUUGCAUGUAGUUCUGUGGAAUCAAGGUCUGUUUUCUAGGCAUUGAAUUGGAGUAUAAUUUUUAAGUGUUUAUUAAGACUUAAAUGAAGAUGGGAGUUGUGACACACAUUUGUAAUCCAGUACUUGGGAGGCAGAGGCAGGAAAAUCAGGAAUCUAAGGUCAGCUUUGUCUACACAAUGAGGCCAAGGCCCAUGUGAGUCCCCGCCUCAUAAAAGAAAAGAGAGAGGGGGGCUUUAAUAAGUUUUGGAAAUGAGGUUUCUGUGAAGUUUCACUUACAAAUUUAAUGUUCCAUCACAAAUGACUGGAGUUUUUGUGCUGGUUUGUGGUUCCCCCUCCAUUGCUCUGCCUGACCCUUCACAGUGUAAUGAGAUAACUGACCACCGAAGUUUUGUGUUCUCUCAGCCGUGUUCAGCAUAACCUUUAACAUUUGCUUAAGCACUCUGACUUCUGCAGAUCUGCUCAGGUGGGAGGUGUUCCUCUGAUCUGUGGAGUCCUCAAGGUUAAGGACCAGGAACUGGACUCUUCUGCUGGUGUCUUCCUUCUGUGCUUAGCAAGAUAACUUCGAUCCCUGCUGGAUCUCUGGGCCUUAACAGUGCAGUGCAGUGUAUUUCUUACUGGGUUUGCAAAUCAAGGGUAAUGUGCUUUUGGAUCUAUGGUGUCUGUAUGAGCCUUGUACCCCCAAUCCUAUGAUCACCUCUGCCAUUCCA
rnacentral:lncRNA from 1 species